GAUACGUUAGUUGAAUGGUAAAGGCAUUGUGCUACGGACACAAAAAUUGCAAGUUCGAUUCUUGUACGUAUCU